GAGAGGGGUCGAUUUACUUGCUCGGAAGAGAGCAAGAUGCUGCCAGAAACAUCCCUGUGGGGCUUCUCUGCCAGGGCAAAGGGCCAGCCACAGGCAGGGUGUGCAAAGAUAGCUGUUUGGGAGAGCAACAACCCAGGCUAGGGCAGGUGGUGAACUACGCCUGGGCAUGGCCAAGCCAGAGGAAACUCUGGCGGAGUCCUGCAGCAAUUCUGACAUGCAAAUUGGUCGCCCGAUCUGGGUCUAGGGACGAAAGACUAAUUGAGCCAUCAGUAGCUGGUUCCCUCUAGAGUUUCCCUCAGGAUAGCUGGCACUCAGCAAUGGGCAAUUUUACCUGGUAAAGCGAAUGAUUAGAGGUCUUGGGGCCAAAACAAUCUCAACCUAUUCUCAAACUUCCAAUGGGUAAAGCGGCCAGCUUGCUGGUGUGGAGCUGCACCAUGGAAUGAGAGUGCUCAGUGGGCCACUUUUGGUAAACAGAGCUGGUGCUGCAGGAUGAACCCAAUGCUGAGUUAAGGUGCCCAAUGCCAAUGCUCAGAGCCCAGAAAAGGUGUUGGUUGAUCUAUUUUUAAAAGCUGGGGAGGGAUCUGGAGCCCAAGGCUGAUGGGGAAUGGCUGGGGGACCCAGUGGGGGUCAGGCCCUGCUCCCAGGGAAUGGGCAAUGGGACGAGGGGAAACGGCCUCAAGUUGUGCCAGGGCAGGU
rnacentral:ncRNA from 1 species